AGCAGCAGUGAUGCAGUUCCCCAUUUUCAUGCUGAUCUCGUUGACAUUCAUUGUCGAUUUUAGCGAUGGAGUUUCUGUCACUCAACGGGAUCCCUCACUCACGGAAACAGCGGGAGAAGAUGUCUAUUUAACCUGCACAUAUACUGGCAAUGUUUAUGAAUUACUCUGGUACCGCCAGUACCCUGGCAGAAAGCCCGAGUUCGCAGUCCGGAAGGUGGAGAGCGGCGGUACUGAAUUUAAGUCGGAUUUUGCUCAAAAGCGGUUUUCCAGUACAGUCCAGCGGUCAGAAAAGUUAUUCCGAUUGACGAUCUCGGAGCUGCUGCUGUCUGACUCCGCUGUCUACUUCUGCGCAGCGAGACUCACAAUGAUGGGAAAGAGUGAAAGACUCGUACAACAACUGCUGCUGAUUUCUGGGUCACACCUGCUGCCCGCUGUAAUCUGUUUACAGCUGGUCCUCACACAGUGA